GACAGAGGAGCCAAGCGUUGUCCGGAUUGACUGGGCGUAAAGCGCACGCAGGCGGCCCGGCGCGUGGGGUGUGAAAGCUGGCGGCUUAACUGCCAGACGCCAUCCCAUACGGCUGGGCUCGAGCCCUGCAGAGGUCCAUGGAAUUGCCGGUGUAGUGGUGAAAUGCGUAGAGAUCGACAGGAACACCCAGGGGGAAACCAGUGGACUGGGCAGGAGCUGACGCUCAGGUGCGAAAGCGUGGGGAGCGAACCGG
rnacentral:rRNA from 1 species